rnacentral:rRNA from 1 species
GUGGGGAAUAUUGGACAAUGGGGGGAACCCUGAUCCAGCCAUGCCGCGUGUGUGAAGAAGGCCUUUUGGUUGUAAAGCACUUUAAGCGAGGAGGAGGCUACCGAGAUUAAUACUCUUGGAUAGUGGACGUUACUCGCAGAAUAAGCACCGGCUAACUCUGUGCCAGCAGCCGCGGUAAUACAGAGGGUGCAAGCGUUAAUCGGAUUUACUGGGCGUAAAGCGCGCGUAGGUGGCCAAUUAAGUCAAAUGUGAAAUCCCCGAGCUUAACUUGGGAAUUGCAUUCGAUACUGGUUGGGUAGGGUAUGGGAGAGGAUGGUAGAAUUCCAGGUGUAGCGGUGAAAUGCGUAGAGAUCUGGAGGAAUACCGAUGGCGAAGGCAGCCAUCUGGCCUAAUACUGACACUGAGGUGCGAAAGCAUGGGGAGCAAACAGGAUUAGAUACCCUUGUAGUCC